rnacentral:rRNA from 1 species
UUGGAGGGCAAGUCUGGUGCCAGCAGCCGCGGUAAUUCCAGCUCCAAUAGCGUAUAUUAAAGUUGUUGCAGUUAAAAAGCUCGUAGUUGAAUUUUAGGCCUGGCCGGGCGGUCCGUCUUUGGCGAGUACUGUCCUGUGUCGGGUCCACCUUCUGGUGAACCAGUAUGUCCUUUAUUGGGUGUGCCGGGGAGCCAGGACCAUUACCUUGAAAAAAUUAGAGUGUUUAAAGCAGGCAUUUGCUUGAAUAGAUUAGCAUGGAAUAAUAGAAUAGGACGUUGUGGUUCUAUUUUGUUGGUUUCUAGGACCACCGUAAUGAUUAAUAGGGAUAGUUGGGGGCAUUAGUAUUCAAUUGUCAGAGGUGAAAUUCUUGGAUUUAUUGAAGACUAACUACUGCGAAAGCAUUUGCCAAGGAUGUUUUCAUUAAUCAAGAACGAAAGUUAGGGGAUCGAAGACGAUCAGAUACCGUCGUAGUCUUAACCAUAAACUAUGCCGACUAGGAAUCGGGCGACGUUAUUUUCAUGACUCGCUCGGCGCCUUAUGGGAAACCAAAGUGUUUGGGUUC